UGGUUUUUUAACUUAAUUGGUAAAGUGUAUUUUUGAUAAGAAUAUGUUUCAAGUUCAAGUCUUGAAAGAACCAU
rnacentral:tRNA from 1 species